AGACCAUAGUGAGGGCAUCGUUGUAUGAGUGACUUAAAACACUCCUAAGCUUCGUGAGAACUUUCUCCUUCCAGUUGUUUAAAUGUUGCAAUCUCUCUCCUUAGUUG
rfam:Gossypium raimondii chromosome 13, whole genome shotgun sequence.